rnacentral:rRNA from 1 species
CACGUAGGGUGCGAGCGUUGUCCGGAAUUAUUGGGCGUAAAGAGCUCGUAGGCGGUGUGUCGCGUCGGCCGUGAAAACCUGCAGCUCAACUGUGGGCUUGCGGUCGAUACGGGCAUCACUGGAGUUCGGCAGGGGAGACUGGAAUUCCUGGUGUAGCGGUGAAAUGCGCAGAUAUCAGGAGGAACACCGGUGGCGAAGGCGGGUCUCUGGGCCGAUACUGACGCUGAGACGCGAAAGCGUGGGGAGCGAACAGG